rnacentral:snRNA from 1 species
UUUGGCAGCACAUAUACUUAAACAACAACAAAAAAGGAACAACAAACAGAUAUUAGCAUGGCCCUUGUGCAAGAAUGACAUGCAAAUUUAUGAAGCAUUCUGUACAUUA